GUAAAAGUCGUAACAAGGUUUCCGUAGGUGAACCUGCGGAAGGAUCAUUAUCGAGUUUUGACUGGGUUGUAGCUGGCCUUCCGAGGCAUGUGCACGCCCUGCUCAUCCACUCUACACCUGUGCACUUACUGUGGGCUUCAGAUCGUAAAACGGGUCCCUUUACCGGGCUUGCGGAGCGUGUCUGUGCCUGCGUUUAUCACAAACUCUAUAAAGUAUCAGAAUGUGUAUUGCGAUGUAACGCAUCUAUAUACAACUUUCAGCAACGGAUCUCUUGGCUCUCGCAUCGAUGAAGAACGCAGCGAAAUGCGAUAAGUAAUGUGAAUUGCAGAAUUCAGUGAAUCAUCGAAUCUUUGAACGCACCUUGCGCUCCUUGGUAUUCCGAGGAGCAUGCCUGUUUGAGUGUCAUGAAAUCUUCAACCUGCAAGCUUUUGUGGUUUGUAGGCUUGGACUUGGAGGCUUGUCGGCCGUUGUUGGUCGGCUCCUCUUAAAUGCGUUAGCUUGGUUCCUUGCGGAUCGGCUCUCAGUGUGAUAAUGUCUACGCUGCGACCGUGAAGCGUUUGGCGAGCUUCUAACCGUCUCAGUUGGAGACAACUUUAUGACCUCUGACCUCAAAUCAGGUAGGACUACCCGCUGAACUUA
rnacentral:rRNA from 1 species